rnacentral:rRNA from 1 species
CCUACGGGUGGCAGCAGUGGGGAAUAUUGCACAAUGGGGGAAACCCUGAUGCAGCGACGCCGCGUGAGUGAAGAAGGAUCUCGGUAUGUAAAGCUCUAUCAGUAGGGAAGAAAAUGACGGUACCUGACUCAGAAGCCACGGCUAACUACGUGCCAGCAGCCGCGGUAAUACGCAGGGGGCAAGCGUGAUCCGGAUUUACUGGGUGUAAAGGGAGCGUAGUCGGCCGGAUAAGUCAGAAGUGAAAGCCCGGGGCUCAACCCUGGGACUGCUUUUGAAACUGCCGGGCUGGAGUGCAGGAGAGGUAGGCGGAAUUCAUGGUGUAGCGGUGAAAUGCGUAGAUAUUAGACAGAACACCAGUGGCGAAGGCGGCUUACUGGACUGUAACUGACGUUGAGGCUCGAAAGCGUGGGGAGCAAACAGGAUUAGAUACCCCUGUAGUC